rnacentral:rRNA from 1 species
GACGAACGCUGGCGGCGUGCUUAACACAUGCAAGCCGAACGGAAAGGCCCUGCUUUUGUGGGGUGCUCGAGUGGCGAACGGGUGAGUAACACGUGAGUAACCUGCCCUUGACUUUGGGAUAACUUCAGGAAACUGGGGCUAAUACCGGAUAGGAGCUCCUGCUGCAUGGUGGGGGUUGGAAAGUUUCGGCGGUUGGGGAUGGACUCGCGGCUUAUCAGCUUGUUGGUGGGGUAGUGGCUUACCAAGGCUUUGACGGGUAGCCGGCCUGAGAGGGUGACCGGCCACAUUGGGACUGAGAUACGGCCCAGACUCCUACGGGAGGCAGCAGUGGGGAAUAUUGCACAAUGGGCGGAAGCCUGAUGCAGCAACGCCGCGUGCGGGAUGACGGCCUUCGGGUUGUAAACCGCUUUCGCCUGUGACGAAGCGUGAGUGACGGCAAUGGGUAAAGAAGCACCGGCUAACUACGUG